AUGCUCUCUCAAGGUUUCAAAAGGUCUAAUUAUGAUAGUUGUGUUUAUUUGAAAACUGUCAAUGGUUCAACUAUUUAUUUGCUCCUUUAUGUUGAUGAUAUGCUUAUUGCUGCAAAGAGUAUGUCAGAUAUUAAUGAACUAAAGAAGCAAUUGAGUAAUGAAUUUGAGAUGAAGGAUUUGGGUGCAGCAAAGAAAAUACUUGGCAUGGAAAUAUCUAGAGAUAGACCAUCUGGAAAAGUAUAUCUAAGUCAGAGAGCAUAUAUUGAUAAAGUUCUUCGUCAUUUUAAUAUGCAUAAUGCCAAGCCAGUAAGUACUCCGUUAGCUGCACACUUCAAAUUAUCAUCAGCCUUAUGUCCUAAGUCAGAUGCAGAUAUUGAGUACAUGUCUAGAGUUCCCUAUUCGAGUGCAGUUGGUUCACUUAUGUAUGCCAUGGUUUUUUCUCGUCCUGAUUUAUCAUAUGCAUUGAGUGUUGUCAGUAGAUACAUGGCUAAUCCUGGAAAAGAGCAUUGGAAAGCAGUUCAGUGGAUUUUCAUAUACCUGCGUGGUACUUCCAAUGCUUAUUUACAGUUUGGGAAAACUAUAGAUGGACUUGUUGGUUUUUUUGAUUCUGAUUUUGCUGGUGAUUUGGAUAAGAGAAGAUCACUCACAGGUUAUGUUUUCACCAUUGGUGGUUGUGCUGUGAGUUGGAGAGCAACUUUGCAGUCUAUUGUGGCUUGUUCCACUACUGAUGCUGAGUAUAUGGCUAUUUCUGAGGCAUGCAAAGAAGCUAUCUGGUUGAGAGGUUUGUACACUGAGCUUUGUGGAGACUCAUCUUGCCCUACCGUAUUUAGUGACAGUCAAAGUGCUAUAUAUCUUACAAAGAAUCCAAUGUAUCAUGAGAGAACAAAGCACAUUGAUGUCAGAUUUCAUUAUAUUUGA
rnacentral:rRNA from 1 species